UCUCAAGUCCAGUUGGUGGAGUCUGGAGGGGAUGUGAGAAGAUCUGGGGAAUCCCUCCGUCUCUCUUGCCAAGCCUCUGGGUUCACCUUCAGCAGCUAUUACAUGUACUGGGUGAGACAGGCACCAGGGAAAGGACUGGAAUGGGUGGCAAGGAUCGGAACAUCCUUGUUAAAAUCCUCAUCUCCGAUUAGCUAUUCAGACAAAGUCAAAGGACGUUUCACCAUCUCCAGGGAUGAUUCCCGCAGCCAGGUGCAUUUGCAAAUGAACAAUCUUAAAGUGGAGGACACGGCAGUUUAUUACUGUGCAAGAGACACAGUGAGAGGAAGUGAAUCUGAUGCCAAACAAGAACCUUCUCAUCAGAGAAGCU